AGAGGCACAGGCUUCCGUUUGCGGAAUGAGGCAGCGGGAGGGACCAGAGGUGCGGCACGGGGAGGACGGCCGACGAUGCCGUCGUAGUGCUGUGUGGCGACAGAUGGCGGCUACGCUUGUGGCCAACACGGCCUGACACACAGCCUUGUCAGAUGGCCGUGUCGCACACCUGAAACGGACGUCAUCCUUUAGGAAACCUUACCGGCUCCCACAGCAGCUCGUGAAACUCGGUUUCCUCAUCGAUACGGAUGCGGACCAGGAGCGCAGAAGCCUGCGACCUCCUGGUUCCCGCCAAAACAAAGCUUUGUUUUCGCAUUUCGUUACAAACGGGACUGAUUUCAAAGCUCUUCUGAGUGAAACGGUCUCUCAAAAAGUUCAGCAGAAGGUAAACGAGGAAAAAGAUCCACAACUAAAUGGAAUCACACACCCUCCUAAAGGAUCAGUUUGAAGCUUUUAUGUGUAGGCACAAUGAGAAUGAUACUUUUUCGGUCAAGCUAUACACAAAAUGAAUAACUACAAAUCACGGGAUCCCACAGACGUGUGGCUUACCAGGAAGACUUUACAACGGUUUAAAAUGUAGACUUUGUUAGAAUUUUAUUCAAAAAAAUGGCUCCCAAACUUUUUUAGUCGCCCGACCUGGGACGAGUUAAUUAACGUCUCUAACCCUCAGUUUGUUUGUUACACAAUGGGAUGAUGAUAGUACCUACUUCACAGGACUGUUGUGAGGACUAAAUAAGAUAAGAAUUAACGAGGCUUUAGCCCUCACAUGGUAAGCAUUCAGGAGUAGAUAAACGGUGGCUAUUAUUCUGUUGUUGUCACUCCUCCAUAAAGUGAAGGCUAAUCAUCACGUAGAGAAGUCCAGAGGCUCUCCCGGGUAUCAGUCAUACCCUGGCAUUCUUAAUUUAGACACCCAGAGAUGGCGAAACUCGCUAGGACUUCUAAUUGUCCAUUCCCGAUGGUUCCUUCACACUCCGUGUGCUCUGGAGGGUCUCUGCAUAUUUAAGAUAUAGGCCAUUGUCCAGCCAACAGGGUAUCUCACUCGGAUACAAGGAAUCACAGAGUUUAAGGAGUAAAUUUAUGGAUAAAGCAUUAACCUUGUCCUAAAUGCCAAGGUCUUUGGGGAUUUAUCGGUCUUUACCUUACAAAAAUAGAGUAAAUGCUACGUAUGUACUCUCUUGUAAGGAUAAACCCAAAAACUGAACUUUUACCUGCUAAAAUACCAAAUCCGAAACUUGUGUUUUAAAGGCUGGGUCGGCGUUCCACGCUCAGGUGUCCUGUUGGAACCACUGUGUGACGAUUAUGUGGCGAAGAGAUGGGCUGGUAAUGAAAGUGAAUUAAACAUAUCUGGGGACACACUGUUGUACAUCUGUAUGUCGUAAGAAAAACUCUCAUCCGGACUCGAUAAUUUAAAAAUAUGUGUGCGUACCUACACCCAUACAUACGCACACAGGUGUUCACGUGGCCUUACCUGUUUUGAAGGUUGUAUGCAGGGAAUAUAGGGGAGAUCGUAAGUAAAAUUACAUCCAACUAUGCAAAUGUAAUGAAAAUUUUAAAUCUAA